UUUCAUACAUGUGACUUAAUUAUUUUGGCAGAAUAACUAGCUCUUGCAGGAUUGGAUUUCUGUCCGAGUCAGAUAACUUUGCCUUUAGGAUAUCAAAGGAACAUGCUUUGAUCACUGUAUUAAUUAUCAAGUUGAGUAACUCUCAACAUAUGGCCUAGCGUCAAUAAAGUGAGUGAAAAUCAUGAAAGAUGAGGGUUCUAAUUUAAAAAAAGUGACGAG
rnacentral:lncRNA from 1 species